rnacentral:misc_RNA from 1 species
GAUAAAGAACGUAGCGAAAUGCGAUAAGUAAUGUGAAUUGCAGAAUUCAGUGAAUCAUCGAGUUUUUGAACGCAUAUUGCGCCCUCUGGUAUUCCGGGGGGCAUGCCUGUUCGAGCGUCAUUAAAUAACCCUCAAGCAUAGCUUGGUGUUGGGCUUUUUUACGUCCUUGACUGGGAUGGGCCUAAAAAUUAGUGGCGAUGGCUUUUUUACUUUCAAGCGUAGUAAAUCUCGUCUUGCUAAAGAGGAAAAAGAUUUUUUUUCUGCCAAAAAUUUUAACAUUUAAAGUUGACCUCGGAUCAGGUAGGAUUACCCGCUGAACUUAAGCAUAUCAAUAAGCGGAGGA